GGGGGAGUACACACUGUAUUCUCAUUCACCAUAAAGUUACUGAGGAGUAAACAAUACAGCGUGUAUGUUUCAUUUGCCGUCUCCCUUUACAGGUUGACAAUUUGGCGAGCCGAGCCAGGAGCCAAACAGUUGGCAGUCCAGGAUCCGGUGUAAGAGAUCAGCGGGCAGGUACGAGCGGGUUGAGACGGAAGGGCCCUCCAAGAGAUUUUUCUCGGUCUCUCUCUCCCUCUCUGACUCCUCGUUCCAACUCCUUCAGCUCUGGCUGACCAUCUUACGGCCUCCACUGACAAAACGGAGAACCUCAGUUGGGAGACACGGAUAACAGUUUCUACACACUCAGGUGAAGGAAGCCUCAAGACCUGUUCCUGACAGAGAAGGCGAGUGGCAGGGAGCAGAACCAGGAGAUUGGGUGUUAAUAAGGAACUGGGCUCGACCCAAGCUGGAACCCCGGUGGAAAGGACCGUACUAGGACCUCCUGCAGACCCCCUCUGCUGUCAAGGUGAAGGGACAAGAACGUUGGAUUCAUCUGAGCGACUGCAAGCGCUGGACCCCAGACCGCUAGAAACUACAGAUAAAUGAAGGGACUGAUAAACGGACUUGAUUGGACUGUCGUGUGUUUAAAUUCCUUUUUCCUUGUGGUGCCACAUCCUUGAAACUGCACUCUGGUAAUGGAAGGUAGGAUGCUGUUGGUUAUCUAUAUUCUUUUAGCGAUAGUAGGGUAUAGGGCAAAGGUCGAGAGACGGGUCUAUCGAUGCCACGGGGAAGAACAGUAGAGUAUACCACCUUUGCAGCCAGGAUGUCCUGGUCUGCAACGAUGAUGAAGGCCAGUUGGGGAAAUGGAAUGUAACCAGGGUUAAUUAUUGUACUGGGAGACUUACACACCCGGACCGUCAACUGGUCCUAGGCGAAAGGAACUAUUGAACCCCUCCCUGUGGGGACCAGAAUUGCAGGUUUGACUUUACUUGCAAGAGAAAUCGGGCACAGGGUCGAUUAAGGGGCCUGUUACACAAGGGGAAGUGUUUGCGGGAAGCUCUGGACGAGGAAGGCGGAAAAGGGAUUGGAGUUUCCCCAAAGGCCCCACCCUUGGAAGACCUCCCUCAGGGUUUAUCAGUGAGAACUAUUUCCAAAACGUGCAGAAACGACUGUAUGGAACCACGACCAUCGUUUGCUAUCCCCACCCCGCUGGUGUCUCCUCGCUCUUUACCAUUUUCCCACACAGGGAUUGUGCGGAUCAACUCUUCCGAUGUGCCCCCGCCAGCGAAACAUUGCCCGAGGGAAAGAGGGUGGAACUCACCUAUGACUCUUCCACGGCCCCUGUCGCGGACUGCCUAUUUCCCCCGUCCAUCAGUAAACGGUCAAAUCGACUCCUCCCGCGGAUGAAAGAAGAUUUCUGGUGGGAGGGGAAUCCCAAGCCCCCGAAGGGUGACUGAGUAUAUGAGAACUGCUACUUCGGAACAGGGUGGGGAUGUUCAGACGUGAAUGUCUCGAAUGACGUCACCUGCCUCUCCAAGCCCUGUAGGGAAAGGGAGUGUCACCCCACCAAGGACCCCUUAGGGAUCUCUUGCUCUUGCCAUGAGACAAGUGCCAGUCCCUGGCCCAGGGGGUGCAACUUCUUUGUGGGGAGGGGAACCACACCCAACUCCGGGUCAAUGAUCAUGUAUUCCUACGACCUGAAUAUCAUAGGGGUACCAAACGAGUGUACGCCUCUGCCGGUAUAGGAGAAUGGAGUGAUGCCAUACACCUAAAGGGUAAGGGUUGCACUGAGACUAUGUAUACCCUCCAUUGCUAUAACGGCAUUGCCACCAACUUCCUGGAGUACCCAUUCCCUUCCUCGGUGGCCUAUGGCACCUUCCUCCCCACGGCGGUCCCUUGCCCUGGGUCUUGGGGCCCCCGUCCCGCCCGUCUGGGAGGUACAAGAGAGAGGUCUCCUAAGAAUUUUGUGCAGAUUACCAAGUCCUGACCACCCUAACCGCAGGUCAGGUGGCCGGAUACGGGGCAGCUGGCUUUUUCUCUUUGGGAGCAUCAGGAGCCACUAUGGCGGCCCACAAUCUGAACUAUCUGGCCUGUGGUCUCAUGAGCCUUGGGAACGCCAGCAGGGGAGCAUUAAGACUCAUAACUGACAGCCUUAACCAACUGAGGCUCUUCUCCAUGCAAAACCGCUAUACACUUGAUUACCUCCUUGCCAGGGAGGGUGGGCUCUGCUAACGUAAAGGACAAAUGCAUAAUGGGGCUAGACGAUGCUACUGCCAACAUAACGCAGUAUAUGAACAAAACAGAUGAACAGUUAGGAUCCAUUAAGGAAGGAACAGGUUGGGCAGGAUGGGGGGUACUGGGGACUAAGUGCAUGGAGGGACUGGUUGAUCAAUGGGCUGACAGCUAUUAUAGGGAUUUUUGUCUGUAUCGCCAUUGUCAAAUGUGUCCUGAACACAUGAUGGCCUUGUUAGGGGACCUGCUGCCGGCUAAGCCACUGAUGGUAGUAUGAGCAACGUCAAGGCCACCGAGCUCCUCGAAACUGCACCAGAGGAUUUUCACGAUAUUGAUGAGUGAUCAUUUCAUGAUCACAGGAGGGAAUGAGGGUAAGGGGUAUUUGUAGAAGGGGUGGGCGAGGGGUAAGUGUAGCAAAAUAUGUAGACAGGGCCAGGGAGAGGAUACGUCAUUGGGGAAGUGUAGGAGGACAGGGAAGAGGUAACUAAAAUAAGAUGCCAGACAGCAUGUGGCAACCACAAAGAGGAACCUUGCGACCACAAGACAAUGUGUUCGGCAAAGUAUUUUGAGCUAUAUACCUAUUUCGAGAGUUUUGCUUGCGUCCAUACCUAUUCCAAGUAUUACGCUUGCGUCUAUGCUUAUUCCGAGUAUUUCACGUGCUUAGCUAUGCAAUAGCCAAUCAAUUGAUGAAUUUGAAUCGGUAACCAUAUUUGUGAAUGUAGUACCCUGCUUUUGGGUAUACGUAUGACCUUUGUAAACUGACAAAUUGGGAGUUGGCUACCUUACGCCCGAAGUGCGUGGGGCUGCGAACUCCUCUCUGAA